GAUGAACGCUAGCGGGAGGCUUAACACAUGCAAGUCGAGGGGCAGCAUGGGGUAGCAAUACCCUGAUGGCGACCGGCAGACGGGUGAGUAACGCGUAUGUAACCUACCCUGUACAGGGGGAUAACCCGGAGAAAUUCGGACUAAUAUCCCAUAGAAAUAUUGAAGGGCAUCUUUUGAUAUUUAAAGUUCCGACGGUACGGGAUGGGCAUGCGUAACAUUAGCUAGUUGGUAAGGUAACGGCUUACCAAGGCUUUGAUGUUUAGGGGUCCUGAGAGGGUGGUCCCCCAAACUGGUACUGAGACACGGACCAGACUCCUACGGGAGGCAGCAGUGAGGAAUAUUGGUCAAUGGGCGCAAGCCUGAACCAGCCAUCCCGCGUGCAGGAAGACGGCGCUAUGCGUUGUAAACUGCUUUUCCAGGGGGAGAAACUUGCGCACGUGUUGCGCAAUUGACGGUACCCUGGGAAUAAGCAUCGGCUAACUCCGUGCCAGCCGCCGCGGUAACAC
rnacentral:rRNA from 1 species